AUGAAUUGUCUCCGCGGUGUACCG
rnacentral:siRNA from 1 species